AACGCAAUGAAAGGAGGUGGUCCAGUGUCUAGAGUGAUGUUGGAGAGAGGUGCGAAGACAGUCAUAGGGGGCAAAACCUGACGGCAGCCCCGAUGGGGACCCCUUUUGAUUGAGCCUUGCUCUAAUUGGCUCCAUCUCCUGAAGCUCGUUUAGGGCCGUCCAAAAAUUGGGCGGCCC
rnacentral:misc_RNA from 1 species